AUUCGGAUGAUGAGUCCCAAAUAGGACGAAAUGCGCAUCAUGGAU
rnacentral:hammerhead_ribozyme from 1 species